UGCUUAGUGCCUCAGUUUUGCUGAGGCUGGCUUUGAACUCAUGAUCCUUCUGCCUCAGCCUCCCAAGUCACAGGGAUUACAAGUAUGUGCCACCACACCUGGCUGUAAAAUGAAUUUUCUUAGUAUAACUCAAGAGAGGAUAUCUUUUAGUAAUAUGAGGCAGAGUAAAAGAAUAGUACAAGAAAAUAGUAGCCAUUGAGUUAAUAAUAAAAAUAAAUAUGGGGUCAUGAUAAAUCCUCAAAAAUAUACACACAUAAAAUGCAUUAUAUUCUUACAUGUUAAUUUAAUUUCAACUUUAUGGCUCAGGAGUAUAGUUUAGGAAUUUUUUUACCUUAGUUUUGCUUUCCAGUUUUGUUUGUAUUUUUGUUUUAUUAACUAUGUUAUAAUUCAUUUGUUUUAAUUUAUUUUUAUGAGUACACGAUAAUUAUACAUAAUAGUGGGAUUCAUUGUGCCAUAUUUGUACAUGCACAUUACAUACCUUGAUCAGUUUCAUCUCCCCUACCUUUUCUUUCCCUCUCCUUUUUCUCCCACUGAUCUACUUGCUCUACUCUAAUCUCUCUGUAUUACACUUUAUUAUUUGUCAAAACAUUGGCUACCUUCUCCUGAGGGUGGAAUAUACUUCCCUAUGACUUGAGAUUUAAUAACUUAGUGUCUCAUUUAACAAAAGAAAUUUACAUCUGACAUGGACAUAUGAUUUCUUUUGGUCAAUGAAAUAUGCACAGAAAAGCAUUUAACACAUCAAAACAGUUUUAAAACUGUUCUAUAGUUCCACCAUACUUUAGUGCCUCUGCUACAAGUCUGGCAAUAUUUCAGAAAAAGGAUAUUACAUCAUUCUGGCUCCCAGAAUACAGACAAUGUGGAGCAAAGCCACAACCAACCUGUGAUGGAUGCAUAACAGGAGGAUGAAGAAAUGGUUGCAAGUCACCAAGAUGUGGCUGUUAUUUACUAUUGCAAUACAGCAUAGCCUAUGAUGAUUGAAAUUCUAUGAAUAUAGAAAUCUUCUGUAAAUCAGAAAAUUUAUGAAAAUGUUUCCCAGGGUCUCUUCAUAUUUCUUCCUCAUCCAGUUAAAUUUGUUUCAUCAAUAAUCAUUAAAUAUCUAAUACUCUGCUAGGUGGUAUUGAGAAGAAACCAAAAGCCUACAUUCAAAAUCCUUGCCUUUAAAGUCCAUACUGGUUGGUCAUAAUGUGCAGCCUCUACUAAAGAAAAGAAUGCUAUUACUCUUGACACAGGCACUAAAAUGAUGCACAUAUUGACCCAGAUGUGGGAACUAUCACUGAUUCCCAUUGUCACAAAGGAUAGUCUGACUACUUUGUAUUCCACCUUUAACACACCCAUUACUUUGGAUGUACCUUCAGAGUCAGCUGAUAUUUAUGGGGAGCAGUUGUGGCUUAAGUCUAUGCUGAGCAUUUUCAUAUUUUAUCCUAAAUAAGCCUACCUGUGAGGAAGACAUUAUAAUCCAAGUGUUACAAAUGAACACUGCAUGAAACCCCAUGGCUAAGAAACACUGAGUAGAAAAUCCACCCCAGCUUGGCUGGCCUAAGCCCAAGUCUCUUUCCUGUACAUCAUCUUGACAGGCAACAUGAGUGCUUUAGAGGGAUAGUAUGCUGGAAAUGGUAAAACACUGGGGCCCAGGAGAGCUGAGGUAGCCUUUUCUCAGGCACCCCAAAGCUGUGUCCACUUGAUUUUGUUCAUUUGCCAUUUUGUUCAUUUAUCACUAUUGCAUUUGGACUGUGCAUUUCAAAGAAUUUCUUUAUGGCUUAUUCUUUCAGGCAUGGGAACACAGGGAGAACCCUGUGCAAAGCACUCUUCUCUCCAUUUUGUUUCCCGUCAGAACAAGGAACUAUAGUUCCUUUUCCCUUUAAUGUGCUGUUGCUUUAGCACCAAUAUCUUCUUGGCUUAGCAUCAUUUCUUUUAAACCCUGUAUUUAUAGCUUGUACUAAUUUGCAUAAUAGCACUGAUAUAAUAAAAAACAAUUGAAUCCAAAAUAUUAUGAAUUGGAGGAUUCACACCAAUAUAACUAAUGCAUUCAAGGAAACAUAUAACUAAUGCAUAGCAAGGAAGAGUAUAGACCAAAGAAUAUUAUUAUAAUACAUUUCACAUGGCACAGAUGGGAAGUAAACAUGCCAUUGUAUUUGGUAUCAGUUGGUAUUGCUGCUAUCUUUUUGGUUUUGACUUAUGCAACAUAGAAGUUCCAGCAACAAGAAUAUGGUAUGUACCAUAAAAUAAAGUUUAAAAUUUCAUGAAAAUCCAUUACCUUUCAUCCCUUUGUAACUAAAACCUGGGCAUCCUAAAGAAAUACAAAGCCUGGUGUCAAGAUGACCAUAGAAGUAAUUUUUAUUAAAGCAAUCUAGUUAUUUUAGCCCUUUCAUGUCAUCAAUAGUUCUUAUUCUCCCUGUUUUAGGAGUUCUAAACUAUGAUCAAACUAUCUGCAUUUUCUGAGCCCCCUUCUGUGUUCAUUUAAUGGAUAUCCUGUCACAUGAAACAAUCUGGCACUUGGAUGAUUUUUGAAAGGAAUAGUGAUUUUUAAUUAAUAUACAUACAUGGGUGUGUAAAAUAACCUUCAUUGCAACUUAAAUUACCAGUUUAAUUCACUGAGUUAACAUAAUAAAUAUUCCAAUACUUAAAUAUGCUUAUGUUUCAAUACAUUCAUUUACAUUUAUUCAUUCAACAAAAAUAUGAAGCAUGUCUAAUUUGUACCAUUUUUAGGAGUUGUGGGUUGAGCAGUGUAUAAAACACAUCUCUGUUACAAAAGCUGAUAUCCUAAUAGGGAAAAUUGACAAUAAACACAUAAGGAGAGAGAGAUUUAAAUAUUUUUAAAAAUAGCAAUUGAUAAUUGCUAGUUAAAUAAUAAAGGUAAGGAAGAAGAUACAGGUGCCAUUUAAAAUAAUGUAGUCAGGGAAAGCACUUAUGAGGUCACUUUUCAAUGGCAAUUUGUAAUUGGAGUAAGGAUGACAAAUGAGAAUUAAAAUGACUAUUGAUGAUUUGGCUAAAGGUUCUUUCUUAUUUGAAGAAUUAAUUGUUUUCUCUCUCUCUUCUCCUAACUUCUCCCCUCCCUACCUUUAUUUUCUCAAUUACAUUGCUAUAUGUAAAAUGCUAACCUCUAUUUUCUUAGGUUUCAUUACUAAUACAAAAUCCUUCAGAUGAUGAUAGCCUCUCCUCAAAGAUUAGAAUUGCCUUACACCCUAGCAUUUACAUUGGGAAUUCUUUUCAGAUAACUUCUCAGAAUGAUUUUUCUUUUUCUUUCUUUUUUUAAAACCAGCAUAUAGUUACUUUUACAUAAUUUCUCUUUGGAUUAAGAGAAAUUUCAUUUUUCUCUAUAAAGCUGAUUUAUCAGCCAGCUUUUCCUUUAAAUUACUAAGCCAAUUCAGGGGAGAUGAAAGAAUUUCUCCUUUAAGGUAAACAGAGAGACAAAAAUCAGAAAGAAAUUGACAGCCUAGUGAGACAAAAAGGCAUAUUCAUUAAAGAAAACCUUUUUAAGAAAAACUUGCAACAUAACUUCUUUGAAAAUCUACUUCUCUGUCACAGCUGUGUGGCUACACGUAUAGCUAAAGAUACCUGCAGUGACACAAUUUUAGGGCAGAUACACAAAGCCAUCCUUUAAGUCCACAGUUCUUUUUAUCCAAAUGCCAGAGAUGGGAAGAGUCAGGAGGUGCCUAGCCCAGGGUAAUGGAGGGAGUGCCCACCCUAGCUACACAUUGGCUGGCUGGCUGCAUGCACACAGGCACAUUACUGGACGGAGUGACUCAGUUUCUUCAAAUGUUAAUGAAGAGAUAAUAAUAUCACUUCCUUGUGAUUUUAUGAAGAUCACCUAAGAUAAUUGUAUAACACACACACUAUUGGGCCUGGCAUAUACUCAGUACUCAGUAAUUACAAGAUCUAAUUAUUAGUGUAGUUCAUUUUCCCAUUCCUUUUAAUUCAUUUUCCGAUGCAUAGAAAAGUGUGGAUAAGAGAAGUACUUGAAAGGGUGAAAAAUUGGGUAUAACUAAAGGACACCCUGCAGAAAUCAUCUAUCAUGCUCAAAACCUUGAAAUUCUAAGUUCUGGUGACCAUGACGUUCUGUGCCUUGUCAAUGAUAGCAGUUUUAUAAAUGUUUGUUAGACACAGAAGAAGAACAACUCUACCUGAAUGAAGAUGGACUAGGCCACAUGAUUUUACUCACCUGAGUAUAAAUUAUAUUGAUCACUGAAGAAGGUUCAGAUAAAACUAUCAUCAUUUAGAUCCCACCAAGAUAGUCGUCCUGAAGAUAAUGAUCUACUGUUGCAUUUUCUGAGCCACAGGAAAGGGAAAGCUACAUGCAGCUGUCUAUCAGACUUGAUAGAGACUUAGUCUAGAAGGGAUUUGUUCUCUGCCUUUUGAAGGGAGUUUGCACUGAUAAUUUUUCAGUUUUUAUUUUGUUUUUCUAAAAUAUAAAAAAUGAAAGAAUUAUACAUAAAAUUAUUCUGUUUAUUUGUAAAACUUUGUCAGUCUCUUUUACUUAAAUGUAAAACUUUUGAAUAUAUCAGCAUGGCUCCAGAACCUAAAACAUUGCAAUAAACUUAGGACAUUCAGGGGUAAAAAAAGUAAUAAUUAGAUGAAUAAAUAAAAUAAAUAUAAGAAUGAAUGAAACAAUUUAAAAAAUAUCCAAAUGAAGAAAUGUCUUUUUUAAAAAAAACCCUUCACAUCUAGAAUUAUACCUGCAACAUAUUAAAUAAUUUGAUACAUGAAUUAAGUAGGCUCUUGAACCUUAGAUGUACCAUUGACUAAAGAAUGGUCUUUUUUUCUAAGAAAAAUCACAUUUUCAUCAAGGAUGUAGUUUAAAGAAAGACAUAAACAGACCCAUCAAAACCAGGGGUACAUCCUAGUCAGAAUGCCCUCAUAUAUAGCAUGUGUGCCUUGAGAUUCACUUGAAGUGUGUUAUCUAAAUUUACCUUAUUCAGAAGACAAGAGAGUCUUGGAAGAUGAAGAUCUGCUUGAAUACUUCCCUACGCCUUGUGCAGGGAAGUUCAUCAAUGAGCCAACCAUUAAAGGAUUGGAAAACUAUAAUUAUUACAAUUUUCCUCCUACUAUGAGGUCAAAAUCUGCCUCCUUCUAACCAGUACCCACUGCUCAUUCUUAUUCUAGGACAAUAAGCAAAAUCAAAAUCUUUCACUCUUAAAUAUGGAAGACAGAAUUCCACUUUCUGUUUUUGUUUUUUUUUAACCUUCUCUACCUCUAGUCCUUUUACUAUCACUCAUUCAGAGAAAAUGUGGUUGGUGAUUCAUGGUCUAUCUUCAUACAAUUUAAAAUAUGCAACCAAUUAAAAUAACAGAAAAAAGAAGAAAAUGAGAAAAUGUGAAAAUUCAAAUUUAGCAAUGUAACAUAACUUGAAUCAUUUCAUAUGAAUCUUUAUCAUCAUCCUAUGAUAGUAAUUUUUAGGUCAUUUUAAGAAUUAGGAAACUGAGGCACGGAGAAAUUAAACACUUUUACAGUGUUUUUUGUUUUGUUUUGUUUGUUUUGUUUUGUUUUGUUUUGUUUUACUUUUUACAAGUAGAGCUGAAUUUGAAACAGGAAAUAGUGAGAUUGGAAAAUAAAUGCUUUGUCUUAUCCAGAUAUAGUAUGGUGUCUUUCUGAAAAUUAUGGAUCAAAACAAUUUACUUUCUGUGAACGCAGUUAACCUUAUAUCCCCAAGUGGUAAGGGAAUUGUUUCAAAAUGAAUGAGCCCUUGCAUCUUGUGUCUUGGGUAUUGAAGAUUUUGAAUGGGGUGAGCUAUCACUAAUAUAAUAGAAGCAUGUGCAGGAUAAGGCAGAAGAUAUCUGGGCAGCCCUCUUAAUAGAAUUAUGACAGCUAUAUUAAAAUCCACAGAAAAUUCAGACAUACAUAUUCACUCCCAAGAUCUUAGAGUAAAGAGGAAGACUCCAGAUAGCAGCCAUAGUCCUCAGAAGAUCCAGCUUGGAGCCUGAUGAUUCAAUAGCAAGGCAGGUAUUCACAAGCAUUUCAUAAUUCAUCUCCUACUAUGUAUAAACUUGCAUACUUCUAAAAUAAUUUGUUUUAGCUUUAAAAGACAUAUUUAAGAAACAUAUUGAAGAUAAAUGAAUCAGCAAGCAAUGAAAGAGGCAACACAAUUAUAUCAUAAACAGAGAGUUAUUGAUGGACUGUGCAACUUGGCACCACAUUUAACUCCAAUAUAAAAGCCUAGAACAGUCUAGAAUAGAUAUUGUUUCGAUAUGUUUUUUUCCUUGCCUCUUGAUGCAUGCAAGAGGGAGAGCAACAGUGUCUUUCAUAUAGGUCACUCUGGACUGAGCUGGACACUGCAGACUGAACGCCCUGGGAGUCUUUACAAGGGUUGAUACUCUGACAGACUCCAUCUAUUCAGAAGAAAACAUACUCCACCUCCUCCGAUUCUCCUUGACACAGUGGAUUUCAGGAUAUUAAUUCUGAGACACUUGGAUAUCAUGCAGAAUUUUAGCAGCAUAGAGUGUAGGAGCUCAGGUUUCUAAUUAGGUAGAACUUUAACACUUUUCAUGUAUAAAUUGAUAAUAAUGAGAUCAACUUUCAAGGCUGCUUGUAAUUUAAGAAUUCUUAUAAACAUUUAUUAUAGUACCUAAUAUAUAGUGAGCUCUCAGAAAAUGAUAGCCCUUCUUGUUUUUUGACACCAAUCAUAAGUUUUGUACUAUCUGUGACCAAUAAAAUUAUGAUCAUAAAAAUUGCAA